rnacentral:rRNA from 1 species
UCUAACAUGUGCGCGAGUCACUGGGAUCACUCAAAAACCCAGAGGCGCAGUGAAAGCGUGGGGCUUGCACGGCAUAAAGCCGCUCGCGAGCCGUUACGGGAAAACGACUGUUCGUUCCCGAACGGUGCGGCCGGCCAGCACUCCCGGGGCUCCUCGGUUCCGGCCGCACGCGCACCCGAAGCGCACACGUUGGGACCCGAAAGAUGGUGAACUAUGCCCGGCCAGGACGACGUCAGGGGAAACCCUGAUGGAGGUCCGCAGCUAUUCUAACGUGCAAAUCGAUCGACAGAGCUAGGUAUAGAAGCGAAAGACUAAUGGAACCAUCUAGUAGCUGUUUCCCUCCAAAGUUUCCCUCAGGAUAACGCGCCGAUUUUGACUGGGAAGUCUCAUCCGGUAAGGCGAAUGAUUAGAGACCUUGGGGCCGAAACGACCUCAACCUAUUCUCAAACUUUAAAUGGGUGAGAUCUCCGGCUUGCUUGAACGAAGCCGCGAGAAGACGGAUGAUGGUGCCAAGUGGGCCAAUUUUGGUAAGCAGAACUGGCGCUGUGGGAUGGACAAAACGCCGGGUUAAGGCGCUUAAACCGGAGCUCGUGGGAGACAUGAAAGGCG